AGUUCUACACAAGAUAAAACUGGCAAUGCUACUUUCCAUGUCGGAAUUUUCGAAGAAUCCCAGGAUGAAACAUUGCGUGUGGUGAGUACGUGAGUUUCAGCAUAACUCGUUAAAAUAUCACGUAACGUUUAAAAACAAUAAGAAUUGACACACACACAGGCCAUUACUCAUUAGUGCUUUUAUAAUAGGCGUGCUUUUAUAUCUUUUCAAUUGCUAGGAAACUGAAAUUAUUGUUGGUUGCCCACCCGGACGAAAUAUAAGUGUUUACAGGUAGUUUAGAUACAUGUACUACGUGGAAAUUAUAUAUUUAUUUAUAGCUCAAUAUUUAUUUAUUUAUAACUCAAUAUUAAAAUUUAUUUAUAACUCAAUGUCAACACGGAAAUGUCGGAAAAUUUCUAAAACAAAUAUAAAACAUUUUCUGUGAUAUCUAUGAUUUCCGUGGUAUCUCGAAAUUGUGUGAAACUCUCCGCCCUUGGGGCGUCGCGUUUCCACACAAUUUCUCGUUUUUCCAAUUUCCACUCGUGUUGAUGUAACUGUAUAUCAACACGGAAAAUGUUUUAUAUUUGUUAAAUAUCAAAUUAAACGUCUAGACUCUAUAGCUACAAUCCUGACAAAACUAUACACUAUUCUUCCCUUGGAGACAGAAUUGUAUGACUUGAAUUGAAUCACAGUGAUUGAAUCUGUCAUUGCCAUGGGCUUAGCCCGUCUAUACAGGAGGAAACCUGAACUAACUAACUUUGGACGGGCAAAAAAUGUUAGAACUCCAGUGUAUUGUAUUUAGUAAUUAAUACAACCGUACAAGCACAUCCCCGCACAUACAUCCACAACAAUGCAACAUUGUAGGGGCGGGGGGGGGGCGGAACUUCGUCCUUUUUCGCGGAACCGGACGAAUUUGCGUGUAAACAGGCGAAAAAGGAGGAAUUUCAGCCAUGACUGUAGCUUCUAAACUUCUACAACACAUGAUUGUAGCUUCUAAACUUCUACAACACAUAGUGAAAAGAAAAUUAAGAUGGGCACAAACAGUACACAUUGAAUCUAAUGUUACUCUAUAUACUUAUUUUUCGUUCUUUAAUAUUUGUAGGUCUGUGGAAAACUGCCCUGCGUUUGAAAACUAUACCUUCACUAUACCAAGGUGCGACAUUACGCCAAUGAUAGCAUUUCCAAUAUCAAGCAAUGUUUCUCCAAAACUUUCUCCUAUAUUUCCAAUUGAUGUUUGUGAUGUUACUCUGAGUGUAUAUCCACACCGGGCAAGCUUGAAAAAUAUGCCUGACCACGGUGGGAAUCGAACCUACGACCUUUGGAAUACUAGCCCAAUGCUCUGCCAACUCUACGCGGUCAGAUCGGUUCGAGUAUGCGAUAUUUCGGAACACCGUGGCCAGGCAUAUUUUUCAAGCUUGCCCGGUGUGGGUAUACACUCAGAGUAACAUCACAAGCAUCAUAUUCACCUGAGUACAUUACACCAACACAGAAAAAUAUCAUUUCCAAUUGUUAUACUUUUUAGUGGUCAUUACCGCUCAGACUUUAUCUCACCAUUUUCUCCAGCUACCACGCCCAAG
rnacentral:lncRNA from 1 species